UUUGAUGGGAUGUGGAAGGGUUAGAGCCUUUUCAAGGCAAUGUUGGGAGGCCUUACAUAAUACGUGGCACGUAGCAAGACAUAGCGAUAGAAACAAGACAACCAGCAUAGCAACGAUAGUAGUGGUAUCUAGGGAAAUGCUCAUCUUGCCUAAGAUCCCGCCUGAAAGAAGAACGAAUGUGUGAACUAGACGAACCAACCUAGUCAAACGAAUCCUCACAUUCCGAAGGGGUUCAGAACUCUAUCGAGAAUAAACAAUCCAGAAACAAACAAUCAACACACGAUAAACACCACAACAUAUUCAUGACAUGAUGCACAAUCAAAUAUGAUGCAUGUCCAUUUAAUUAUGCAAGGCAUGAUAAAGCAGAACAAUCAAAUACUACACAUUAAGUGAAGUUCAAUAUGCAACGAGUUGAAU
rnacentral:lncRNA from 1 species